AUUUAUUUAAUAAUGUUACAUAAUUAGGUCAUUUUAUUAAUUACAAUUUGCAGGCCCUGCCUGACAGCCAAAAGUCCAGGGAAUUUAAUUUGCUAGCACUAUAUUUAACCCUGUAACUUUCCAAGACUCCAAACAACCUGUACAUGGGUGGGUACUGUUUUAUUUGGAAGACUUUGCUGAACACAAAUAUUAGUGUUUCAAAAGAGUAAAAUUUAUUACAACGAUGAUAUCGUCAGUGACAUUUUUUUGCAUUUUUCACACACAAAUGGCACUUACACGGAUGAUAUAAUUGUUGUAAUACGUAUUACUGCUUUGAAGCACUAAUAUUUGUGUUCAGCGAAGUCUCCUGAGUACAACAGUACCCCUCACGUACAGGUUUUAUGGUGGUUUCAAAAGUUACAGAGUCAAAUAUAAGGCUUGCGUUUCAGUUUUUUCACAUAGAAAUUCGCCAGAUUGGUUACGUUGCCUUUGAGAUGGUAUGGUAGCCCAGGAAUGAGAAUUAACCCCAUGAUGGCAUACCAUUUGCAAAAGUAGACUGUAACCAACCUUGCCACUUAGACAACCUAAGGUAAUGCAAAUUGGGUAUGUCCAGUCUUUUUCAGUAGCCACUUAGCCACAAACACUGGCCAAAAUUGGCAUUCAAAUUAGAUGUUUGCAUUUUUCACACACAAACAAAUAAUAACACUAACUUUGGCCAGGGCUACCAUACGGUCUCAAAGGCAACGUAACCAAUCUGGGGACUGUCAAUGUGAAAAAACUGAAAAAUUUAACAUGCUAUAUUUCACCCUGUAACUUCCCAAAACACCAUAAAACCUGUACAUAGGGGGUACUGUUUUACACGUGAGCCAUCGCUGAAUACAAAUAUGUGUAUUUUAUUGCAGUAAAAGCAAACCGUAUUAUGACAUUCCCAGUUAGAAUGUCACGUAGAACUAAACAUUUUUUUUUUAACGUUUUGUUUUCUCCCAUUUUUUAAAAUAUUUUAUUCAUAUCAAAUUGUUUUAUACUUAAAUAUUUGAUGUUAAAUGAAAGCCCUCUUUCCCCUGAAUAAAAUGAUAAAUAAUAAGUGUGGGUGCACAUAAUAUGAAAGAGGCGAAUUACGCCUGAAUAGACAUAUAGCGCAAAUUAAAGUUUUUGUUUGUUUUAUUUUGAUCACAACGUGUACAUUUGGCUCAGUCCUUAAGGGUUUAAUUCAAACUCUUAUUUUUUGGCCAAAAUAAAUCUGUUAUUAUUGCCAUUUAUAUAGCGCCAACAGAUUCUGUAGCGCUUUUCAAUAUUAUGAGAGGGGGGAUUUAACUAUAAAUAGGACAAUUGCAAUAACACUUAACAGAAACAAUAGGUUGAAGAGUACCCUGCUCAAACGAGCUUACAGUCUGUAGGAGGUGCGGUAUAAAACACAUUAGGACAAGAAAUAGCAAUCAAAUAAGUGGGAGUGAAGCAGAGCUGGAGGAGAGAGUAAGGUGCUGCCCCAUAGGAGUGAGCAAGAGACAGGUAUGUGAGGUAGAGGUUACUCUGGGAGGCCAUAAGCUUUACUAAAGAGAUGGGUUUUAAGGCACUGCUUAAACGAUUGAAGACUAAGGGAGAGUCUGAUGGCGGUAGGCAGGCUAUUCCAUAGUAAGGGAGCUGCCCACGAGAAGCCCUGCAAGCGUGAGUUGGCCAUAUGGGUGUGAGCAGCAGACAGAAGAAGGUCACAGGCAGAGCAGAGAGACAGAGAAGGGGCAUACCUAUGGAUCUGUUAACUUGCUGUUCAGAGAAUAAGAUCCCAUAAUUCCACGCUUGCUUCAUAUACACAUGAGUAUACCAAAUAUGUGACUCUCAACAAUUCUUUAUUUUUUUUAGAGUGAUAAAUUGAUUCAAAUGUUCUGUCUUACCCAUACAGACAGAAAUACAUAGGUUAUUUGACAGACAUGAUUCCUGAUGCAUGGAAUUCCUAAUUUGUAAAGCUAUAUACAUUAAUGAUUAUACAAAUAACUAUUUCAAUACUUACUUUUGGCACUCAAAUUUAAAUGGUACUUGCAAACCUGUUUUGUAUUAAUUUAGAUCCAUUGUACUUUUGUGACACUGUAAUGCUGUCUUGUUCUAGUAGUUCAUUACAAAGUUGUUCUUCUGCGGUAGUGUCCUUGCGUAAGUCUAUGGUGUGUGCAAUUAAAUGUUGGCAGUGGCUUUAUUUAAAGACUGAAUCUUCAUUAAUUUUUAGUUGUCAGUUCUUCCUUUCUGAGUUCAUUUUGGUGACAGCACUUCAUCAACAAAUAGUUAAAACCGUAAUUGUUA